rnacentral:sRNA from 2 species
UUGCGCAAUCAAGGUUCUGGUGAGCAAUAUUAGCAAUCAUUGGUCGCGCCUGGCGACGUAUUCUUUUACCCAGAUUCACGGCCCGGACAUCUCGUCCAUCACGGCUCGCCCAAUCAGGCCAGCCGUGGCCGCCGACCCUACAGGGUUGCGCCGGCCUCCGGGUUGCACACCGCCCAGAAGGUGGAGUGAGGUGAGCCGUCGCCAACAGCGCCGAGCCAGGACAGUUACCCCAGAAGGGAGGUCGACGGGCCUCCCUU